rnacentral:rRNA from 1 species
GAGUUUGAUUAUGGCUCAGGAUGAACGCUAGCGGCAGGCCUAAUACAUGCAAGGCGAGGGGGCAUUUCGGUGUCACCGUCGUACGGGUGCGUAACGCGUAUGCAACCUACCCACCACUGGGGGAUAGCCCGGGGAAACCCGGAUUAAUACCGCAUAACACAGGGGGCCCGCAUGGGUCUAUUUGUUAAAGAUUUAUCGGUGGUGGAUGGGCAUGCGUUCGAUUAGCUAGUUGGCGGGGUAACGGCCCACCAAGGCUACGAUCGAUAGGGGAGCUGAGAGGUCGACCCCCCACACGGGCACUGAGAUACGGGCCCGACUCCUACGGGAGGCAGCAGUAGGGAAUAUUGGGCAAUGGAUGCAAGUCUGACCCAGCCAUGCCGCGUGCCGGAUGAAGGCCCUCAGGGCUGUAAACGGCUUUUAUCUGGGAAGAAGACCGUGGGUGCGCCCGCGGGUGACGGUACCAGAGGAAUAAGCACCGGCUAACUCCGUGCCAGCAGCCGCGGUAAUACGGAGGGUGCGAGCGUUGUCCGGAUUUAUUGGGUUUAAAGGGUGCGUAGGUGGCCUGGUAAGUCAGUGGUGAAAUGCGGUCGCUCAACGAUCGAACUGCCAUUGAUACUGC